AGACUUGAUAAUUGCGAAUCAGGAAAACAUUUUGGAUUAGCUAGGUUACAAUAGUUACGAUCAAGAACGAUUCAACCGAAGGUUUCAAAAUCGAUACGAGAAAAACAGCAAAUUGCUGCAUCUGGACCGCCACCACGUCCGCCGAAAGAAAUGUGGCCUACAGCUCCAGCUUCAGGCAAUCAUCAUCAUUUCGGGAACAGAUUCUAGCCUCUUCACAAUGUUCCAUGCAAAGGAUAUUCUGCUUUCUGCAAGACCCAGAGUGGUAAGGAAGCAAACUGCACUGUCCCAUACAGAGUAAUCGACAAUCCUGCCAAAUUGCCUGCCACACGUGUUGUGAGAGUUUUCGUCUGGGGACCAGCUAGGCAAUUUAAAGGAUGGCCACGGAAUGGUAGUCGGGUUAAAAUAUUUUCGAAAAUUGUGCAUUUUACUUGCGAGGAAAUGGAGGAAAUUAAAUUGGAUACGAAUGUUGCACACUGGUCUGUAAACGUAUUGAAUUUAUCACGGACUGAACGACAUUUGGAUCGAGCAGUGUUAAUUACAUUUUCGCAAAGCCUGGACAUUGCAAAAAGUAAAAACUAACUUCGAUUCUGAUUUUAUCAAUACAUUGUAUACAUUCAAUCGCCCAAUUUUAGAUAGUUUGUUUAGAUAGUUGAAGUGAAUAUAAUUAGAGAACUAUAUUUGUACAGUCUUUUUCAUUAAGAAUUACUACUACUAAAAAUUCUACAAGAUCUACAAUGAUACAUUUUGCUGAUAAAAUUAAGCAUUUAUUUCAUUUGAUACACAGUAUUGAAAUGUCGAUUAUCCAUUGCCUGAAGACAGAUAGGGCACUUAUUAUUUAUUGAUAAUGUGCGCAAUAGACACUGACGGCAAAAUAAAUGCCCACAAACGGUUGCCACUGGAUCUGAGAAUUUCGUUUCCAAACAAAUCGGACACCCAUUCCCCAUGUAUAUGUACUGCAACUCAGCUAUCGAUUGAGCCCGUCCACAAGGACAUUUUUUGCACUUCAGUAUGUGGGGCCAUAUGCAGUUUUUACAGAAAACGUGUCCACAAACCGUUAGCUCCAUUCUGCAGGCCGUUUGGCCACAUAUUGUGCACUUUUUGACUCCAGAUUCUGAUGAAUUCAUUUUUAAGAUUACAAUAAAAUGAAAUAAGAUCAAUGGAAUUUAUGAACAUUUGAAUUUCAAAGCACCCUGAGAUAGAAAAAAUCAUACACCAGAAAGACAUGAAACUAGUAGUGAACGCCAAGCAUGAAAUUCAAAAUCUUUAUUUUUAUCUAUUUAUUUAUUUAUUAGAGUUAGAAAACUUAAUUCUAAAUUCAAGUAACCAACAUCUCAUAUCCUCAAACAUGCCAAUAAUAACCGGAACUAAAUAAAAUUACCAUUUGAUUCUUAAAAUUUAUUUGUAAGGAGUGGGAAAAAAUACUGCUCACAAGACGAAGCCAGUAAAAACGAUCUUUUCAAAAACAUUUUCCAUAUAACGAAAUUCAUUCACCCUGUUUCUUCGUUGCUAAAAUGCAUACUGCAUCGCGUCUUUGAAUUGCAAUUGUUGAUAAUUUCUGCAACAAAUAGUCCGUGGAACGUGAUUCACCACUCGUACAGAAGUAAAUUUUAGCUUAGAAAC